AUCACGAUUGAACAUUACGUACGUUUCUCUAGUCCUGCAACACGAUUAUAAACUAUCCAAAUUUUACUUUGCAUUAUGAUAUUCAUUCAUUUUAAUUUUACCAAUCAAUUUCAUCAUUUAAAUUUAACAAGAACAUCAAAAGAAUAUGUCCUGUAAACAACUAAUAUCGAAUGAUCAAAUAACAAGAGCUUUCCUUCAAAUUCUGUUAAUGUUAUCUUUAAUUUAUUUUUAUCAUUCAACAUAUUAAAAAGUUUACAUUUUUAAGAAACUUAAUAACAUUAUAAACCCAACAAUAAAAUUAAUUUUUUUCUCAUAUCUCAUAACGGAUGUACGAAAUGGAAGUAUAGGAUUAAUUAAAACCUAACGCGCCAUCUUGCAGUACCGUUCAGAAAUACGCAGCAAGAAAACAAUUUAUCGCCAUCAUGCUCAGUAUCGUGCCGUCUCUGCUUUUCUUAUGGCGUUUCAAAUUGUUACGUGCGAAUCAUGAUAGAUUUUGUGAAAGCAAAAACAAAUUGUUAUAUCUCGUAUUCACAUACAAAAAAUAUUAUAAAGAAAAAUAGAGAAUCAGCAACAUUGUAGAUGGAAUAUUAUUCCAUGUAAAAGAAAAGAGUACAUAUCUCUUUCCCUGUCUGCCUGACUCUUUGUAUGAUCCAUUCGACGAACAUCCGGCAUCUCAUGAUGUACUUUGAACCGCCGGAAUAACGACGGACACGAAAGAGCACAGUCUUGAGAAUAACGUCUUACCAACCAAACAACGAUAUAACUACCAUGAUUGUAAAAAAGGUGUGCUCCUCUAUGGGCUCGUUUUCGUUCAGUUCGCGCAUUACCAUGCUCAACGUCAUGAUGCUAACCUAACUGACAAUAUGCUUUGCGAAUUAUAAUUUCUUUUACGUGAUAUUAAUAAUUAGUGUAAUGGAUUCGUCUACUAGUUUAGGUACCAUAUGCUUGUUAUCAAUUUAUAUUAAUAAUAGAAUAAUUUCUUGCAAAAUCAAAUGUUAAUGAUAUUUUCAAUCUUUCAAUUUUUCAUAUAAAACUUUUUCUUUAAAAUGACAUAUACUAAAUGACUAUAUGUCAUUUAACAACAUUCAUUGACUUAUAAAUGACAUAUAAUUUGUAUUCAUUUUUCACACACUUUUCAGCAUAUUUUCUUAUUUAAAUUUAUUAUCAUUUUAAUUUCUUCUUAAAAUCAUGUUUCAUUUAUAUCGCAGAUUACGAUAUAUGCCAGGUAAAAAGAAAAAUAUAAUUUAUAUUUAGAAAAUUUAAUCAAAUAGAAGAUUCUAAAUGAUUCACAUUUUGUAUCUACCGCUUUUUCUAACAUAAGGAUUCCGAGCGAUCUGAUUUGUCGAGUUGAAUAUCUAUAUACAGCCACUCAGAGGCCUUUCUUUUUAUAACACAACGUGAUUACUACAAGGCCUUCGGAGUGUGUAACUUUAACAUACUAAGAAUUUUACUACUUCUUACGAUAUCGAAGAUAUAGAUGAAAAAAAAAAUUUUUUUCUAUAAAAAUAUGUUGUAGAGAUAAAGACGAAAAAAAACGAGAUAAAUUAUAUGAAUUUUCAAGAUAUAUAGCUGGAGAUUAAACUACUAUAUACAUACAGUUUAGUAGAUAAAAUCAACAUAAUUCAAAGUUCGGACAUCUUUGCAAGAUAAUAGCAAAUUAAAUUGUUUAUUUUGUCCUAAUCAAUCUUCUUUUGUGUCUUCGAUUUGUUUUAUCUUCAACUCAACCUCUCUUAUCAAUAUCUAACUUCUUUUCUAGUAAAUGUAUUUACUUUCGUAAAAGAUAAAAAGAAAUUCUUGAGAAAAGAUAAAUAUAUUUGUUCCCUAUUAUUUAUGUUCUUUGGUAAUAAUUCGUGCACAUAUUUACACAAAACGGAAUUUAAAUUUAUCUUUGUACUGUAUACACAUUCAUAGCCUGAAUAUUUUUUAUUCAAAGCCUGAAUAUUUUUUUGCAUAUAUUAUAAGUAAUAAUUUAUUUUAGAUCUUGUUAAUUCUAAAAUUAAUUCUUUCCUCAUUAUUUAUUAGAUUAGAUAAUAGUUUAACUAAGUAGAAAGAUAUUCUAUAAUGCUAUUAACAGGACUAACGUCAACUUUAACUUUAUAUACAUUACGAGCUAUACAUUAUUUCCUAGCCAUAAUAUCUUCAAGCGAAUUAUUUCAUAUGUAUUUUAAUUACUGUUCUAUUCAUAAUAAGUCUUCAAAUUCUAAUAUUUUGUUGAAUAAAUAUAAACGGCAAUAUUUUUCUUUUGCGUUAAGAGCAAGAAUAUUAUUAAAGGAAGUUUAUAAAUGUAACAUAAACUAAAUUUAAUAAACUUAUGUAACGAAAUGCUAUUGGAACCAUCAAAAUUCUAAUGAACUUAUUCACAGCUUGCAAAUAGUUAUUUCAGAAGAUUCAUAACCUCACAACUCAUUAAAGAAUAUUUGUAAGCGAUGAAUACAAAUAUAUAGAAUAAAAUUGACGUCGUAUCUAACAA